GGGUGUAACUCAAUGGUAGAGUUCCAGCCUUCCAAGCUGGCUACGUGAGUUCGAUUCUCAUCACCC
rnacentral:tRNA from 1 species